UAACAUAUCCCUGGAUGAGAGCAGUGUC
rnacentral:piRNA from 1 species